UAGAGGGAAGCCUGGAGCACAGUGGGGGCCCCUGAGAGGAGGAUCCCACCUAAGAGUGAAGCUGGCAUAGAGCCGGACGGGGCAUAUAUCUGCUGAUGCCGUGUGAAGGUCUGAGUCCAGCUGGACCUAAGUUUUCCAGGUUCCCGAACAGUGCAUUCCCUUUUAUGAAGGGGUCUUCACCUGAGUGGAAACAAGAGACGAGAUGAUAUUUCAGCUUGGGAAGGAGUCAGAGAACGUGCAGAUGGCCGAAGAGAUGACCUGGUCCAGCCUGAACCACAGGAAAGGCAGAUGGGAAAAGUCUCCCCCACAUAUGAGGCCCCCCACUUCAGCAAGUUUAAAGUUCUCCCUGCAACUUAUUUGAAAAUGUUUAAAUCUAUAGAAAAGUUGUAAAAAUAAAAUAAUGAACGCCCAUCACCCUUCGCUUACAA
rnacentral:lncRNA from 10 species